rnacentral:rRNA from 1 species
CGUAGGGGGCGAGCGUUGUCCGGAUUUACUGGGCGUAAAGCGCGCGUAGGUGGAAGGUCAAGCGGGGCCUGAAAGCCCCGGCUCAACCGGGGAAAGCGGCCGCGAACUGGCCUUCUUGAGGGCGAGAGAGGCGGGUGGAAUUCCUGGUGUAGCGGUGAAAUGCGUAGAGAUCAGGAGGAACACCAGUGGCGAAGGCGGCCCGCUGGCUCGCCCCUGACGCUGAGGCGCGAAAGCGUGGGGAGCGAACGGGAUUAGAUACCCCGGUAGUCCACGCCGUAAACGAUGGUCACUAGGUGUGUGCGGUAUCGACCCCGCACGUGCCGGCGCUAACGCACUAAGUGACCCGCCUGGGGAGUACGGCCGCAAGGUUG